rnacentral:rRNA from 1 species
GUAGGGAAUAUUGGACAAUGGGGGCAACCCUGAUCCAGCGACGCCGCGUGAGUGAUGAAGGCCUUCGGGUCGUAAAGCUCUGUUGCAGGGGAAGAACACAAUGACGGUACCCUGCUAGAAAGGAUCGGCUAACUUCGUGCCAGCAGCCGCGGUAAGACGAGGGAUCCUAGCGUUGUUCGUAAUUAUUGGGCGUAAAGCGGGUGCAGGUGGCUUGGUAAGUCAGAUGUGAAAGCCUGGGGCUUAACCCCAGAAGUGCAUUUGAUACUGCUGAGCUUGAGUGCUGGAGAGGCUAUUAGAAUUCCUGGUGUAGUGGUGAAAUACGUAGAUAUCAGGAGGAAUACCGGAGGCGAAGGCGGAUAGCUGGCCAGACACUGACACUCAGACCCGAAAGCGUGGGGAUCAAACAGGAUUAGAAACCCCGGUAGUCC